rnacentral:rRNA from 1 species
UACGUAGGAGGCGAGCGUUGUCCGGAGUUACUGGGCGUAAAGGGUGCGCAGGCGGUUGCAUGCGUGGGGGGUGAAAUCUGCCGGCUUACCCGGCAGGGGGCCUUCCAAACGGUGCGACUUGAGGCUCGCAGAGGGGCGUGGAAUUCCGGGUGGAGCGGUGAAAUGCGUAGAGAUCCGGAGGAACACCGACGGCGUAGGCAGCGCCCUGGACGAGACCUGACGCUCAGGCACGAAAGCUGGGGGAGCAAACAGG